ensembl:lncRNA
UCUUGGUGGAGUUCCCUGCAUACCUGAGGUCUUCUUGGGGGUAAUGAUGACGAUGCAUAAUGCUACGGCUAGUAUUUAUGCUAUGGAGCACUCUUCAUCUCCAGGGCAGAUAAAAGGCCUUAGUAGAUUGAUCUUCAGAGCACCCCCUGUGAGCGAGACCAUAACUGCUCAUCUGAUGUAGGAGCCUAUUUGCCUUAGAGUUGGUCCUGAUGUUGUCAGCAAAGAAGAGGUCUUUCCAGUAGCUGGCCUGACCAGGAGUGCUGGGGGACUCACUGUGCUUUGGAGGUGACAAGUUCCCUUGACAGACAGAGAACACGGGGUGGCUUUCAGCUAAGGUGCGUUGGUUUGACUCCAGAAGAUAGGAAUUUAGGCAACAGAGCUUGUUACAACAGGAAACUCUUCUUUCUCUAAGAGAACAAAUGGAGGGACUGAUACUUGAUUCUAAACAUAGGUGUUACAUGUCCAUGUGACAUUGCAUUACACCUUUAAGGUGUAAUGGCACAAAAUAAGGUGUAAACUUUAAGGUCUUAUGCUAUUACAAGAUUUUAACAUGUAGAAAACUUUACCAUAACCUAAAAGAGUCAUGAUAGUAAGACUUACAAUAAAUGAUGAUGACAGAUUGAUAAUGGGGGGGGGGGGGGAAGGGGAGGGGAGUAAGCAGAGCAAAUGGCACAAAAGCACAGUUAGAUGGUGCACCACUGAGGUCUCUACGAAUGCUAACGCUCUGAGAAAGAGCAAGGCUCCAGAAGUCUUGCUGCAGAAGGAAUGAGAAUUACAUUGCAACAGGAAACAGCAAGGGACAGAUUGCACUGAGCUGGGAUUGAUAAUUCUGAGGGUGUCCGAAAGAGAUGGAUGAAAGAAGGUCCAUUUGAGAUCACGCUGAGAAACUCCAUGUGCUACACCUUGGAAUCAUAUGGACAAAUUCAUUUUACAGCCUGCAGAGACUAUUAUGAUAAUUGCUUUUCUGAAACAUAGAGUCUUAUCUCUUUAUUUUGCAUGAAGCUGCUAAUGUCUACAAUUUAAAUGUACCAGAUGCUUGCACUAAGAAAGUUUCUAAAAGAUUUCAAAUAGUGAAGAAUCCAUUCUUUCUCUUGCUAAUGUGCUCCCUUUAUUAGUUAUUAAUUUUGUCCUUGUGGCUACCAUCUAUUUCACCCCGUUGCACGUAUUUCCUGCUGAUGUAGAGAUUAAUACAUUAAUAUCUCUCCUCAUAUUCAGAAAUGGGUAACUCUUCCUCCUGUGAUAAAAUAAACAGACUUCUGUCCUUCUUUUGGAUAACUUGGUCACCUUAUGGAAUUAUGUCAGGUCAACAUAAUUACCUUUAACCAAACCUGUAAUUUUAUUAGUGAUUGCUUGUUUGAUAAAACAUGUCUACAUGUCUUUUUUUUCCUCUUCAUAAAGCGAAUGAAGUAAUUAGU